GCGGGAAGAGCUCAAAUUUGAAAUCUGGCAGUCUUCGAUUGUCCGAGUUGUAAUCUAUAGAGGCGUUUUCCGUGCCGGACCGUGUCCAAGUCUCCUGGAAAGGAGUAUCAAAGAGGGUGAUAAUCCCGUACUUAACACGACCACCGGUGCUCUGUGAUACGUCUUCUACGAGUCGAGUUGUUUGGGAAUGCAGCUCAAAAUGGGUGGUGAAUUCCAUCUAAAGCUAAAUAUUGGCGAGAGACCGAUAGCGAACAAGUACCGUGAGGGAAAGAUGAAAAGCACUUUGGAAAGAGAGUUAAACAGUACGUGAAAUUGUUGAAAGGGAAACGAUUGAAGUCAGUCGUGUUCUUUGGAUUCAGCCAGUUCUGCUGGUCUACUUCCUUGGAACGGGUCAACAUCAGUUUUGUCCGGUGGAUAAAGGUAGUAGGAAUGUGACUUCUCCGGAAGUGUUAUAGCCUAUUAUCACAUACACUGGGUGAGACUGAGGACUGCAGCUCGCCUUUAUGGCCGGUCUUCGGACACGUUCGAGCUUAGGAUGUUGACAUAAUGGCUUUAAACGACCCGUCUU
rnacentral:rRNA from 1 species